rnacentral:rRNA from 1 species
AUUGAACGCUGGCGGCAGGCCUAACACAUGCAAGUCGAGCGGAGCGGCGGACGGGUGAGUAAUGCCUAGGAAUCUGCCUCGUCGUGGGGGAUAACGUCCGGAAACGGGCGCUAAUACCGCAUACUAUCAGAUGAGCCUAGGUCGGAGUAGCUAGUUGGUGGGGUAAAGGCCUACCAGGGCGACGAGCCGUAACUGGUCUGAGAGGAUGAUCAGUCACACUGGAACGGAGAAACGGUCCAGACUCCUACGGGAGGGAGCAGUGGGGAAUAGUGGACAAUGGGCGAAAGCCUGAUCCAGCCAUGCCGCGGGUGUGAAGAAGGUCUUCGGAUUGUAAAGCACUUUAAGUUGGGAGGCGGUACCAACAGAAGAAGCACCGGCUAACUUCGUGCCAGCAGCCGCGGUAAUUC